CGUUGCACUAUCGUUAACUGAAUACAUAGGUUAACGAGGCGAACCGGGGGAACUGAAACAUCUAAGUACCCCGAGGAAAAGAAAUCAACCGAGAUUCCCCCAGUAGCGGCGAGCGAACGGGGAGCAGCCCGGAGUCUGAAUCAGCUUGUGUGUUAGUGGAACGGUCUGGAAAGUCCGACGGUACAGGGUGAUAGUCCCGUACACGAAAGCACACAUGCUGUGAACUCGAAGAGUAGGGCGGGACACGUGGUAUCCUGUCUGAAUAUGGGGGGACCAUCCUCCAAGGCUAAAUACUCCUGACUGACCGAUAGUGAACCAGUACCGUGAGGGAAAGGCGAAAAGAACCCCGGCGAGGGGAGUGAAAAAGAACCUGAAACCGUGUACGUACAAGCAGUGGGAGCCUCUUUAUGGGGUGACUGCGUACCUUUUGUAUAAUGGGUCAGCGACUUAUAUUCUGUAGCAAGGUUAACCGUAUAGGGGAGCCGAAGGGAAACCGAGUCUUAACUGGGCGUUAAGUUGCAGGGUAUAGACCCGAAACCCGGUGAUCUAGCCAUGGGCAGGUUGAAGGUUGGGUAACACUAACUGGAGGACCGAACCGACUAAUGUUGAAAAAUUAGCGGAUGACCUGUGGCUGGGGGUGAAAGGCCAAUCAAACCGGGAGAUAGCUGGUUCUCCCCGAAAGCUAUUUAGGUAGCGCCUCGUGAACUCAUCUUCGGGGGUAGAGCACUGUUUCGGCUAGGGGGCCAUCCCGGCUUACCAACCCGAUGCAAACUACGAAUACCGAAGAAUGUUAUCACGGGAGACACACGGCGGGUGCUAACGUCCGUCGUGAAGAGGGAAACAACCCAGACCGCCAGCUAAGGUCCCAAAGUCAUGGUUAAGUGGGAAACGAUGUGGGAAGGCACAGACAGCCAGGAUGUUGGCUUAGAAGCAGCCAUCAUUUAAAGAAAGCGUAAUAGCUCACUGGUCGAGUCGGCCUGCGCGGAAGAUGUAACGGGGCUAAACCAUGCACCGAAGCUGCGGCAGCGACACUAUGUGUUGUUGGGUAGGGGAGCGUUCUGUAAGCCGUUGAAGGUGUGCUGUGAGGCAUGCUGGAGGUAUCAGAAGUGCGAAUGCUGACAUAAGUAACGAUAAAGCGGGUGAAAAGCCCGCUCGCCGGAAGACCAAGGGUUCCUGUCCAACGUUAAUCGGGGCAGGGUGAGUCGACCCCUAAGGCGAGGCCGAAAGGCGUAGUCGAUGGGAAACAGGUUAAUAUUCCUGUACUUGGUGUUACUGCGAAGGGGGGACGGAGAAGGCUAUGUCAGCCGGGCGACGGUUGUCCCGGUUUAAGCAUGUAGGCGGAGGUUCCAGGUAAAUCCGGUACCUUUUAACGCUGAGGUGUGAUGACGAGGCACUACGGUGCUGAAGUGAUAAAUGCCCUGCUUCCAGGAAAAGCCUCUAAGCAUCAGGUAACAUCAAAUCGUACCCCAAACCGACACAGGUGGUCAGGUAGAGAAUACCAAGGCGCUUGAGAGAACUCGGGUGAAGGAACUAGGCAAAAUGGUGCCGUAACUUCGGGAGAAGGCACGCUGAUGUGUAGGUGAAGCCCCUGCGGGCGGAGCUGAAAUCAGUCGAAGAUACCAGCUGGCUGCAACUGUUUAUUAAAAACACAGCACUGUGCAAACACGAAAGUGGACGUAUACGGUGUGACGCCUGCCCGGUGCCGGAAGGUUAAUUGAUGGGGUUAGCGGCAACGCGAAGCUCUUGAUCGAAGCCCCGGUAAACGGCGGCCGUAACUAUAACGGUCCUAAGGUAGCGAAAUUCCUUGUCGGGUAAGUUCCGACCUGCACGAAUGGCGUAAUGAUGGCCAGGCUGUCUCCACCCGAGACUCAGUGAAAUUGAACUCGCUGUGAAGAUGCAGUGUACCCGCGGCAAGACGGAAAGACCCCGUGAACCUUUACUAUAGCUUGACACUGAACACUGGUCCUUGAUGUGUAGGAUAGGUGGGAGGCUUUGAAGCGUGGACGCCAGUCUGCGUGGAGCCGACCUUGAAAUACCACCCUUUAAUGGCUGGUGUUCUAACGUAGACCCGUAAUCCGGGUUGCGGACAGUGUCUGGUGGGUAGUUUGACUGGGGCGGUCUCCUCCCAAAGAGUAACGGAGGAGCACGAAGGUUGGCUAAUCCUGGUCGGACAUCAGGAGGUUAGUGCAAUGGCAUAAGCCAGCUUGACUGCGAGCGUGACGGCGCGAGCAGGUGCGAAAGCAGGUCAUAGUGAUCCGGUGGUUCUGAAUGGAAGGGCCAUCGCUCAACGGAUAAAAGGUACUCCGGGGAUAACAGGCUGAUACCGCCCAAGAGUUCAUAUCGACGGCGGUGUUUGGCACCUCGAUGUCGGCUCAUCACAUCCUGGGGCUGAAGUAGGUCCCAAGGGUAUGGCUGUUCGCCAUUUAAAGUGGUACGCGAGCUGGGUUUAGAACGUCGUGAGACAGUUCGGUCCCUAUCUGCCGUGGGCGCUGGAGAAUUGAGGGGGGCUGCUCCUAGUACGAGAGGACCGGAGUGGACGCAUCACUGGUGUUCGGGUUGUCAUGCCAAUGGCACUGCCCGGUAGCUAAAUGCGGAAGAGAUAAGUGCUGAAAGCAUCUAAGCACGAAACUUGCCCCGAGAUGAGUUCUCCCUGAGACUUUAAGUCUCCUGAAGGAACGUU
rnacentral:rRNA from 1 species